UCGUGCAAUCUUCUACGAGACCGAGGCGUGUCUCGACCACAGGGAUAUUCCGGUAGGUAACUACACAUUCUACGCACGUGUGUGUGUGUGUGUGUGUCCGAAUCCUUCGAAUGACCCCGCUUUGUCCUUCCAUUCUUCAUUUCUUUCAGAAACGAAGAAAUUUGAAAUGUUACACGUGGCUCACAUUUUCUAACCGAUACAAAAAAAAACAUGCGUAGAAAAACAAAUCACUCUCUAUUCUAAAGAAGUUUUCACUUCAAAUAUGAUCACAUUUAAAAUACGAACACUAUACAAGUCUAGUAAGUGAAUAUCGGAAAAAGUCUUCCAGUAACUCACUUAUCAUUUGUACGUAAUAGACAUAUAAUUUUAACGACUUCCAAGUAAACGGUCAUUUUGUCGCUUGUCUGUUUCUUUUUCUCUAAUUACUGCAUCAAUUGAAAACGUAAUAACUGCGAAGAAGAAAUUCGUAAUCGAGACGAGACGCUGAGUCUGAGGCGAACAUUCGUCCAUUUGUUCGGAGUGUGUGCACAAGGAGAAAGAAAUAAAAAAAAAAGUCAAGUCGAGAAGCGCAAAAAGAAUACGUUGACAGAAUGAAAUGUUUGUCUGGCGAUUUUUACAAGUUGAGAUGGGAACUAAAGUUAGACGUCAUCGAACGAUCGCCUAAGUUAUUUCUAGAGACGCUGUCACAAGGAGGAAGAGGGGAGCUGCGAGUUCGAGUGACCCAGAUCGUCGUUCAGUCGUAUUAAAAAUGAUGGAGAUUCGAGUGGGGUCAUAAGAUGUGUUGUGCUUGAUUCGUGACUUCGAUUGUUAGAUCAUUUGUUAUUCAAAACAUUUAAUCAUAUUUUACGAAGAUAAUAUACACUCUUUAUUUCUUUUUUCAUCGAUUUUUGGCGAUUCGCAAUUGAAUAUAAUUAAACGAUGUAGUCAUUGAGUUAGAUCAAAGACAGAUUCUACGUAUUUAUUAUCGAGUUAUUGAUUCUACCAAAGGAAUCCUUAGAAUCUUGAGAGUGAAGAGGAGAGGAAGAGAAAAUAAAAAAUUAAAGAAGGAAGAGGAAAGCUCGAUGAAGAGCGCGUGUCGCACGAGUACCCUAUCGAUACCCCACCAACCGAAGAGACUCGCCGGUAGAAUCACCCUCCGCUUCUGUAGUUGACUCGUAUAGGACGUCAGCAGCCAACAGCUAACAGUCAGUAGUAGCAGCAGCAGCAGCAGCAGCAGCCGCAGCAAUAGCAGCCACUUCUCUCGGCAACCUCCGUUGAUACUUACCCGCGCGUGUAUCUCUUCAGUCGGCUCGGAGCCACGUGCGUGUGUUCGAGAGUGGCUCUUGUCGUGACGUUCGAGUCUUCUACGAGUCUACUCGACUCUCUCUCUCCUCCUUCUCCUCCAACCCUUCUUCUUUGUCCUCUUUUUUCAUCUCUUUAUUUUCUUUUCCCAUUUUUUUCCUCUUUCCCUUUUUUCUCUUCUCAUUUUCCCUUCAUUCGAUAUUUUCUUUUUCUUUCGUUUCCAGUUACUCUCCACAAUUCUUGUUUAAAACAUCGUCUGUCUUGUGCCACCCUGACGAACAAUUUCGUUUUCUUCUUCUUCUUCCUGUUCCUCUUCUUCCUAUUUUUAUGUUUUCCACAAUUAACAAUCAGUGACUUUCAAUGGUUCAACGCGUAUCUUCAAGUAAAAUACUCCAGCAAAGAACCAUUUGGAGAUUCCCACGUUUCUUUGGAAACAAUCAUGAAGAAAGUGUAUAAGGAAUCAUUGAAAUUUUCGUGAAAACCACUUUGGACAAAAGAUACUUCUCGGAGGUUAAUUCUUCGAGGGACACGGAGUCUCUCGAGCAGAUGGUGUCGGUCAAAAGGGACUAAAAAUAUCAGUCGGUUCCGCGGUCGCAACGCAAGUAUCUUUUCUCAUCUUCCUUUCCUACUCUUCACUGGAGGAUUUCUGUGACUGGAAGAAGAGAAAAAAAACUACAUGGUAUCCUGACUAUUUUCUCUUUCUCUUUCUGUCUCUGUCUGCUUGCCUUUGAUCUUACUUAAGCGUAAGUGUAUAACACAAGGGAGGAAGAAGAAGAAACGAAUCCAGGAAGUAAGAAAUACGUUGCGAGUCAACGAAAUUCAAUGACUGAAGGUCUUUCAAGAGAAAUUAGCUCCUUCUAUUCAAGGAAGAUUUGUCGGUUUGUUAUUGCGACAGUUCAGAUAACGUCUGUCUAUCUUAACUAUUUUAUACAACAAUCAAAUAUUCGAUUUACGUAUUCUACAAUACCGUAGUCAAACUUUCAUAAGAAAAAAAGAAGUUCAUUUAUCAAGUAAUUAAUCUUGAUCUAUUAUCUCUUAUUUUUUUUUAGGCAAAAUAAAUAUUGAAAGUAAACAGAAUUAAGUUAUGAAGAAUCAAUUAUCGAGUUAUUUAUAAUCUAACAUAAGCAAGUUUGAAUCGCAACUGGGGAUCUGUUGUGCUUUUAGUGAUACCGAAGCUAGAAAGAAAGAAGUUUACUGCCCUUCUUGUUACUUUUACUUCUACUUCUGCCUCCUCCUCCUUUUUCUCUUCUUCUUCUUCUUCUUCUUCUUCAUCUUCUUCUUCGCGGUACAAUGUUUUACGGUAGGGAGGCGGUUGUUUGAAAUUCUUCUGGUGGAGUCGCGCUUCUGUAUUUAUAGAGCCGCACCGCGUGUCGAGGGAGUACGUAGGGCAGCGCGCGUGUAGGUACGCAGAGGUUCACUGAUGUGAGAGGGUAAAAGUAGAAGUAGAAGAACAAGAAGAAGAAGAUCAGAAGAAGAUCAGAA
rnacentral:lncRNA from 1 species